rnacentral:rRNA from 1 species
UACGGGGGGGGCAAGCGUUGUUCGGAAUUACUGGGCGUAAAGGGCUCGUAGGCGGCCAACUAAGUCAGACGUGAAAUCCCUCGGCUUAACCGGGGAACUGCAUCUGAUACUGGAUGGCUUGAGUUCGGGAGAGGGAUGCGGAAUUCCAGGUGUAGCGGUGAAAUGCGUAGAGAUCAGGAAGAACAUCGGUGGCGAAGGCGCUCUGCUGGACCAUAACUGACACUCAGGGACGAAAGCUAGGGGAGCGAAUGGG